rnacentral:rRNA from 1 species
UACGUAGGGUGCGAGCGUUAAUCGGAAUUACUGGGCGUAAAGCGUGCGCAGGCGGUUUUUUAAGACAGGUGUGCAAUCCCCGGGCUCAACCUGGGAAUUGCAUUUGUGACUGUAAGACUAGAGUACGGUAGAGGGGGAUGGAAUUCCGCGUGUAGCAGUGAAAUGCGUAGAUAUGCGGAGGAACAACGAUGGCGAAGGCAAUCCCCUGGACCUGUAAUGACGCUCAUGCACGAAAGCGUGGGGAGCAAACAGG